GUUUUAUCUCUGUUUAUGUACAGUGACAUCAUCUAUCUGCCUGCAUAACAGAACUUUCCCUGUCAUGUUUUGUGCUUUGACCUCUCGAUGCUUUCACCUCCUCUGCCAAAUACUUUGUUUCUGCAUCAAGAGAGAGGAGCAAAACCACUGUGGGGGGAAAACAGCAGUUAAGGCUCUUCAGUGAACAAGACUGCAGGCUUAGUCCCAAACGUGGGCAAUGGAGAUGGACUAAGAGAAGUGGAAGAAAGUGAUGUGGAGAGUCUGCAGUGGAGAAAGAGGUUCCUCUGGGGAGCAAUUUCAGACUGCUUACAUCCAGAUCUGCCAUGGAGCAGGGAAUUAGGAAAUCAGCCAGUCAAGGACGGCUUGGUUCUGACCUAACCCCUGAGAAUCAACCAGGUGGAGCCUGUGAUGGAUGUAUUCCUGCCCUUCUGCACCAGCUGAGCUCAUUUUGCUGUGCUGAAUUCAUGACAAGACAAGAAAGAUGACGUGAAACUAGUGAGGUCAAUAUGCCUUCUGCUGCAACUUCUGUUUGGGGUGCUGCAUGAAGAGGCUGAGCCUCCUGGACAGCACAGCUCCUGGGCUCCCACCCUCUCUGCACCUUCACAUCUGGUGUCACUCAGUGUGGAAAGGACUGGGCACUGCAUCACCACUUGCCUCAAGAGGGCUCCCAGCUUCCUUCCAGCAUCCUUGGAUGAGACAGAGACAGCAACCUGGCACAGAGAGAGGAUGAUCACAGCUGUAUGGCUGCUCAAGAAGCAUUGUUUUUCAAUGUGAAAGGUCAAGUGCUGAACUGCUAAACUCUUCUCUAUUCCUAGGCACCUGUGCCUAUGAGAGAUGCAGGUACCUUUGCAGAUCUUGGCCCACAUCAUUGGAGCAAAUGAAUUGAAAGUGCGGGGGAAAGACCCAGUAAGAGAGGACCACUGAAAGCACAUUGGAUGCAUUGGGUAUGGCCUAUUCCCACUGUGAGUGACACUGCUUCUUGCUUUUGAGAAAGAGAAAAGGAAGAGUAAAAGCAAGAGAAACUUCUGAGUCAAGAAAGAAAUGUUUGGACAAAGAGAGAAAGAAAACAAAACAAGGUGUUUCAGCAUCUUCUUUUUAAAAAGGAAAAAUGGAACAGAACCAUGCACACAUUUUUCUGAAGUUAAUCUCAGCAGAACUAAAUAUACAGUUUUCUCAACUGUUGAAACAUAUUCCACUGCAGUUAUUGGACUCUGAUUGCUUCAUUGGUUUCCAUUUGCCACAAGCAGGAAACCUUUGAAGGAUGGAUGAACUGAAUGUGAGAGCAGGAGGAAGGCAAUAGCCAUCUUUGGACAAAAAUUACAGAGGACAGCUGUCCCUUCUGCCACUGUGAAGCGGCUCUGGGGUGUAAACGGAUCUGCUGACUGUGGAUGGAGGGUUGCUGUUUCAGGAGCAACUGCAAAUUCAGACACAUGAGAAUUGAUAUGGAUGCAAGGUGGCUGUGAGGCCUAUUGAUUCGAAAACCACCUUCCCCACAAAGCAGAGACGGAAAAGAAAAGCAGCAGAGAUUCAUCCAUCUGCUGCUAAGGACACAGAUGAGCCCCCAGCUAGAAAACUACCUAUGGCGAUUCUUGCUUCAGUCCCACCUGAAUACACCUUGGUCAGCACUGAAGUCAUAAAACUUCCAAGCAGUCUGGAACUGCUUCCAGGAACACAGACAUACUCUGUGGCACAGUCAGAGGUCUCAAACUCAACAGCUCAUUCCUCACAAGAAGCAGAUAAGACGCAGCAGCUGAGCUGCACAGAGGCUGGGAAAGCACUCGUCUCUGAAGAUGAUGACCUUCAGAAGUUAUUGAUGGAAAUCACAGGAGAACUGGAAGGAGAAAAUGAUGUGGACGCUGAAAAGGGUGUGGAUGAGCUCCUUCUGGAACUGUCUGAGAUCACUGACAGCGUGAUACCACAGUCUGAUUGUAAUUUUUAAGACAAACAACAGCAACAACCAAUUAAAACCAACCCUGUUCCUUUUCAACCCUGUUCCUUUCCUUAUUCUGAGGGGACACUUUUUCUGAAACUUUGCAAUGAGUCUUAAAGCAGAGUCAAAC
ensembl:lncRNA